GGGUGCCUGCCUGGCUCCCCCAGCAGCCGGGCUGUGGGAAGAUGGGUGAGAGUCAGCUCUCUGAGUGCUUGGCGGCAGGCGGUCAGCUCAGCUGGUGGGAACAGCAGGACGGUGUGGACGUCAGCCUGGCACGGGGCAGGGGUGCCCCUCAGCAGAAUGGCAUGGGGGCUGUGGCAAGCUCCCCUCCAUCUCUGGUCCCUGGAGUCAGACUAGACCUUCGCCGCAUCCGGCUCGAAGGCUCGGAUGGAUGAUGGAUUGCCCGGCCCAUCUUCCCCGGGGGGUUGGAUCUGAGACCAUCAGCAUCCAGCAGCCGUGAGUGUGAUGGAUGAACCGAGGCCAGUCACCUAGUGGGGAAACGACAUCUCACAUUUAAAGAACACCAGGCGUUUCUACACAGCGGGGGAAGGAAAUCCGUCCUGAUUUUAAACUUUGGCACAGCUGUGAAACCGAGGGUAGUGAACUCUGAGGAGAGGACUCUUUUCUGGACAUACAUUUAACGUCCGUGAAAGCCUCAGACCCCCUGAGCACACCUGCCUAGCCGUGUUGUGGACGAACAAGGGCUGACGAAAUGCCUGUGGAGGCUGAUUUCACCGGAGUCAGGGGAAGUCAGUCUAAGCAAAGAGCAGGGGCACGGAUGAAAAUAACAGAACAGUGACCCAGGUAGGAACCGUGUGCCGGGGAGGCUGGGCCAAGCAUUUAUAGAAACUGCCCAAAGAGCAGAGCAGGGCGGGCGUUUCGGCCCAUUUUACAGACCAGGAAAACGGGCGGAGAGGCUGAGUGACUGCCCGAGGCGACACACAGCUCUCCCGCCCUGUUUGCUUACACACAUUCUUGGCCAUGCAGUGAAGGGAGUUCCCAGCAGUGUCCCCCGCCCACUCGCAUCCUAUUGCCCAGCUGAGCCCCUCCCUUGGCUCUCCCACCCAUGGGCCUGAUGGCCACAGCUGGGAUCCACCGGACACUGCAGUCCCCCAGGCUUCGGGUCUUUGCCUCCUUAGUCACCUGCGAAGCACCUCCUAUGUGCCAGCUCUGCCCGUCCAGGGAGAAGCAGCACAGCCCGGCCACCCGAGGCCUCCUGUGCGCUUCCCCGUCUGAGGUCCGUGAUCAGAACUGCGGGCCUCUCCCCAGAGGUCGGGGCAGCGACAGGACAGCCGCGGGCUUCUCCGCAGAGGUCGGGGCAGCGACAGGACAGCCUCAGCCUCUUCAGAUGCUGCCUUCAGGGAGCAGUGAAAGAGGGAGGGAGAGACAGAGAGCACCCGGGCGGGUCUCCCAGCCACACCAGGCUGGUGGGUGGGAUUUAUGUGCCAGGUACUGUGCUGGCUAUCACCGGGGCCUGGUGGUCUCUUGGAGUCACAAGCAGCCGCCUGAGAUGAGGUUUAUCAUUUUGAGCUAGAAUAGGACUGAAGCUCAUUCCCGAGGGGCUGGCCGGGCCGGCUCUCCCUGCCUGCCGGCAUCUCCACUGCCUCUGCUGUCCUGAAGCUCUUAUGAGGGUUCACAUUACUAGGACGCCAAUGUGGGUUCUCCUCUGGGCACUGGCCCCAAGGCACCCCAACCUCAGACAUGUCACCUCCUGGGCCUACUAGAAAUGGAGACUGCAGUUCUAUGAUGGGAAAAUCUCUACACCAUCGGUCAUUUGGGCUAUAGAAGAAAAAGAAAUUAUUUUCAGCUGCA
ensembl:lncRNA novel transcript